GGAGGGGUGUCCGAGUGGUUAAAGGAGGCAGACUGUAAAUCUGUUGGCUACGCCUACGGUGGUUCGAAUCCACCUCCCUCCA
rnacentral:tRNA from 2 species